rnacentral:antisense_RNA from 1 species
CUUCACCGAACCCAGCCACAACGGCUCGGCCCCGGCACGCUCACGCCCAUACGUCGCAAGCAGCGCCUGCGCCUC